UGCCCAAGAGCCCUCUCUACUUCAAGGC
rnacentral:piRNA from 1 species